rnacentral:rRNA from 1 species
UGCAAGUCGAACGGGAUCUUCGGAUCUAGUGGCAGACGGGUGAGUAACGCGUGGGAACCUGCCCAGUAGUAGAGAAUAACUUGAGGAAACUUAAGCUAAUACUUUAUACACCCUCCGGGGAAAAGCUUUAUGCGCUAUUGGAUGGGCCCGCGUUAGAUUAGUUUGUUGGUGAGGUAAUGGCUCACCAAGACUACGAUCUAUAGCUGGUCUGAGAGGAUGAUCAGCCACACUGGGACUGAGACACGGCCCAGACUCCUACGGGAGGCAGCAGUGGGGAAUAUUGGACAAUGGGGGCAACCCUGAUCCAGCGAUGCCGCGUGAGUGAUGAAGGCCUUCGGGUUGUAAAACUCUUUCGUCAGGGAAGAUAAUGACGGUACCUGAAGAAGAAGAUCCGGCUAACUCCGUGCCAGCAGCCGCGGUAAUACGGAGGGAUCUAGCGUUAUUCGGAAUUACUGGGCGUAAAGCGAGCGUAGGCGGACUUGUAAGUUGGAGGUGAAAUCCCAGAGCUUAACUCUGGAACUGCCUUCAAAACUACAUUUCUUGAGUUUGGUAGAGGAGAGUGGAAUUCCUAGUGUAGAGGUGAAAUUCGUAGAUAUUAGGAGGAACACCAGUGGCGAAGGCGACUCUCUGGGCCAAUACUGACGCUGAGGUUCGAAAGCAUGGGUAGCGAACAGGAUUAGAUACCCUGGUAGUCCAUGCAGUAAACGAUGAGUGCUAGAUGUUGGGAAUUUAAAUUUCCAGUAUCGCAGUUAACGCGUUAAGCACUCCGCCUGGGAAGUACGGCCGCAAGGCUAAAACUCAAAUGAAUUGACGGGGACCCGCACAAGCGGUGGAUCAUGUGGUUUAAUUCGAAGAUACGCGAAGAACCUUACCGGCCCUUGACAUACCAAUCGCGGACUUAAGAGAUUAAGUCUUUCACUUCGGGUGGAUUGGAUACAGGUGCUGCGUGGCUGUCGUCA